rnacentral:sRNA from 1 species
AAAAGAAAGAAAGAAA